GCUUGUCUCAAAGAUUAAGCCAUGCAUGUUCAAGUAUAGCAAGUGUACAGUGAAACUGCGAAUGGCUCAUUAAAACAGUUAUAGUUUAUUUGGUAUUCGAAUUUACAUGGAUAACCGUGGUAAUUCUAGAGCUAAUACAUGCAUUACGCCUGACUUUUCGGAAGGGCAGUAUUUAUUAGAUAACAGACCAGCAGCUUCGGCUAUUGUGGUGAAUCAUAGUAACUAAUCGGAUCGCAUGGGCUAGUCCCGCGACAAACCAUUCAAGUUUCUGCCCCAUCAGCUUUCGACGGUAGUGUAUUGGACUACCGUGGCUUUUACGGGUAACGGAGGAUUAGGGUUCGAUUCCGGAGAGGGAGCCUGAGAAACGGCUACCACAUCUAAGGAAGGCAGCAGG
rnacentral:rRNA from 1 species